AUUUUGAUAUAUAUGUUGGGAUUACAAUAUUAUCUCUAGUCCUGUGUGUUCCUUGAAAUUGUAUGUUUGAAUUGGAUGGAGAAGGAUGACUAGGAGGAGGAGGUAAUAUAAUAACAUUUGGGUUGUGAGAAAUUGAUAUCCUACUUGGUAUGUUCUGUUUAUUAUUUCUCUUCCUAUUAAUGUCAAUAUCGUUUUGUACUUGUAAAUUUGUAUUUUGAAAUUGUAUUUCUACAUUUCCAUCGGUAUGUUCUAUUAUAUGAUUGGGAAUAUGAUGUUGAGGAAUUUCUUGUGGUUGAUUGGCAUUUUGUAAUGCCCAUGAUUGGGGUAGAAUUAUAUCUGACUAUUUUAUGGUUCUUGGAACUAUCAUAUUAGAUUUUUCUAUAUUUGUUUGGAACAGAAUUGUUUGAUCUUUUUGAUCAAGUUUUAAGAUAUUGGGACUUAAUGUAUUCAUGACCUUAUAGUAUAUUCUAUAGACUAUAGCAAGAUUU
rnacentral:lncRNA from 1 species